UACGAAGGGGGCUAGCGUUGUUCGGAAUUACUGGGCGUAAAGGGCGCGUAGGCGGUGUGUCAAGUCAGGCGUGAAAGCCCCGGGCUCAACCUGGGAACCGCGCUUGAGACUGGCACGCUCGAGUUCGGGAGAGGAUGGUGGAAUUCCCAGUGUAGAGGUGAAAUUCGUAGAUAUUGGGAAGAACACCGAUGGCAAAGGCAGCCAUCUGGACCGACACUGACGCUGAGGCGCGAAAGCGUGGGGAGCAAACAGG
rnacentral:rRNA from 1 species